AUACCUUUCUCGGCCUUUUGGCUAAGAUCAAGUGUAGUAUCUGUUCUUAUCAGUUUAAUAUCUGAUACAUAGUGCCAUCGGCCUAUUUGAUAUUAACUCUAUUUCUUUAGGGGAAGAGACUAUUAUGGCAGUUCACUGUCCGGGCUCUUGAGCGUCGCCUUUGCGUUGCACUACCGCAAAGGCUUUAGGCGCACCCCAC
rfam:Capsella rubella cultivar Monte Gargano unplaced genomic scaffold scaffold_6, whole genome shotgun sequence.